UAUAACUCCCAAACCCAUGUGAACAUACCUCUCGUUGCCUCGGCGGAGAGAGGGAUUACCCCGGUGUGGUUACCCGGAGGCGCAUACCCAGUAUGCGCCGCCCGGCACUCCAGGGCCGUCUCUCCCGCCGCCGCUGGCCCGCGAAACUCUGUUUUAAUUUGGAAUUCUGAAUAGCAAACUAAAUAAGUUAAAACUUUCAACAACGGAUCUCUUGGUUCUGGCAUCGAUGAAGAACGCAGCGAAAUGCGAUAAGUAAUGUGAUUUGCAGAAUUCAGUGAAACAUCGAAUCUUUGAACGCACAUUGCGCCCAUUAGUAUUCUAGUGGGCAUGCCUGUUCGAGCGUCAUUUCGACCAUUAAGCCCUGGUUGCUUAGCGUUGGGAGCCUACUGGCCUGGGCUGUAGCUCCUCAAAGUUAGUGGCGGAGUUAGUGCAUACUCUAGGCGUAGUAAUUUAUCUUCUCGCUUUUGUAGUUGUGCUGGCGCUUGCCGUAAAACACCCAACUUUUAAUAGGUUUGACCUCGGAUCAGGUAAGAAUACCCGCUGAACUUAA
rnacentral:rRNA from 1 species